rnacentral:rRNA from 1 species
UACGAAGGGGGCUAGCGUUGCUCGGAAUGACUGGGCGUAAAGGGCGCGUAGGCGGUUUGUACAGUCAGGUGUGAAAUUCCCGGGCUCAACCUGGGGGCUGCACUUGAUACGUAUGGACUUGAGUGGGGAAGAGGGUCGUGGAAUUCCCAGUGUAGAGGUGAAAUUCGUAGAUAUUGGGAAGAACACCGGUGGCGAAGGCGGCGACCUGGUCCUUGACUGACGCUGAGGCGCGAAAGCGUGGGGAGCAAACAGG